UAGUUAAACCAAAACAGUGGGAGUGUGGGGUGCCACAGAGGGGUGUUGACAAUGUGAGAGCACAUAGCAGGGCCACCUAAUUUAGUCUAGCAUGUCAAAAAGGCUGCUGGGAAUGCUGAGGGAACUGGGAAGGGAUGAGAAGGCAGAAAUGGAAUGGAAACUAAAAGUGAUUUUAUUAUUCAUUCCAUCAAAACUGAAUGCUAAAUGUCUGACUCUAUCCAGGAUCUCGGGAAUCUCUCAGUGUUUCAGGAUUAUCCCUGGGGCCAACAGUAUUGAUGCUACUAUCUUGGUAGUAAAUGGAAGAAGAUCUCAUAAUUUUUGUUGAAAGAAUACCAAAUAAAAGGUGUCUACUGUUUUGUGCAUUUUUAGUCAUUCCAAAUAAACUUAGAUCUGAAUGGAAAAGAGACAGCUGAUUGCCUGGCUUUUCAAGUGGUUCUUUUGCCCUUAUCGUGCUCUUUGCUGAGUCAGAAGGAAGGCAUGUGGUGCGGUCGACCUCUGAAAUCAUUAAACAUCACUGUAAACUGUUGCUGCUAGAGACUCA